GUCGUGGUAGCCGAGCGGUUCAGGCGAUGGUCUGCAAAACCAUAUACACGGGUUCAAUUCCCGUCCACGACU
rnacentral:tRNA from 1 species